GGCUUUGUAUCUCAGCUGGUAGAGUGCUUACUGAGUUCAGGCAUGAUGCUUCUGUCGCUGGUUCGAAUCCAGUCGAAGCUC